AGCGAACGCUGGCGGUAGGCCUAACACAUGCAAGUCGAACGGCAGCACAGUAAGAGCUUGCUCUUACGGGUGGCGAGUGGCGGACGGGUGAGGAAUACAUCGGAAUCUACAUUUUCGUGGGGGAUAACGUAGGGAAACUUACGCUAAUACCGCAUACGACCUACGGGUGACAGCACGGGAUCUUCGGACCUUGCGCGGAUGUAUGAGCCGAUGUCGGAUUAGCUAGUUGGCGGGGUAAAGGCCAUCCAAGGCGACGAUCGGUAGCUGGUCUGAGAGGAUGAUCAGCCACAUGGGAACUGAGAAACGGUCCAGACUCCUACGGGAGGCAGCAGUGGAGAAUAUUGGGCGAUGGGGGCGAGCCUGAUCCAGCCAUACCGGGUAGGUGAAGAAGGCGUUCGGGUUGGAAAGUCCUUUUGGUGGUAGAAAAAAGCAGCAGUUUAAUACCCCGCUGUACUGACGGUACCCGGAGAAGAAGCACCGGCUAACUUCGUG
rnacentral:rRNA from 1 species